AGUUUGAUCAUGGCUCAGAACGAACGCUGGCGGCAGGCUUAACACAUGCAAGUCGAACGGGCGUAGCAAUACGUCAGUGGCAGACGGGUGAGUAACACGUGGGAACCUUCCUAGGGGUACGGAACAACUCAGGGAAACUUGAGCUAAUACCGUAUACGUCCGUGAGGAGGAAGAUUUAUCGCCCUUAGACGGGCCCGCGUCGGAUUAGCUAGUUGGUGGGGUAACGGCCUACCAAGGCGACGAUCCGUAGCUGAUCUGAGAGGAUGAUCAGCCACACUGGGACUGAGACACGGCCCAGACUCCUACGGGAGGCAGCAGUGGGGAAUCUUGGACAAUGGGCGCAAGCCUGAUCCAGCCAUGCCGCGUGAGUGAAGAAGGCCUUCGGGUUGUAAAGCUCUUUUGUCAGGGACGAUAAUGACGGUACCUGAAGAAUAAGCCCCGGCAAACUUCGUG
rnacentral:rRNA from 1 species